rfam:Dipodomys ordii contig_12001, whole genome shotgun sequence.
GGGAAUGUGGCUUGGUGGUAGAGCGCUUGCCUAGCAUGCAUGAAACCUUGGGUUCCAUUCCUCAGUGCCCA